rnacentral:lncRNA from 1 species
CGACUCGGCUUCGAGUCAAUCAUCCGCGGAUAGUCCGCGCACUGGCUGCUCGUCAGCCUACCGCCCUCUGUGACUUAGCCUCAUAGCGGCGAAAUCGUCGCACACGCUGAACCCGGCUCAAGUCACUUGACAUAGCCAUUCUGGUGGCGAACACGUUGCACUUACCCAGCGAGGACUCAAGUCAUGACCUAUCCAUCUGGCGGUGAACUAAUCGCACCUCACCCAACAAUGGUUUCAGUCACGACUCAGCCACCUGGCGGCACCCGUAUCGUACUUACCCAGCAAUGGUUUCAGUCAAUCCCGGCGGUCUGAUCCACAAUCGGCUUAACCAUCCGGCGGCGAAGUCGUCGCACACGCCACGUCAAUGGUUCAAGUCCCGGGCGGUGAUCUCCAUGUGAUCGCCCCCAAUCCUCCCUCGGUAUCAACCUCGGCGGCGAAGUC